rnacentral:rRNA from 1 species
UACGAAGGGGGCUAGCGUUGUUCGGAAUCACUGGGCGUAAAGGGCGCGUAGGCGGCUUUAUAAGUCGGGGGUGAAAGCCUGUGGCUCAACCACAGAAUUGCCUUCGAUACUGUAGAGCUUGAGACCGGAAGAGGUAAGUGGAACUGCGAGUGUAGAAGUGAAAUUCGUAGAUAUUCGCAAGAACACCAGUGGCGAAGGCGGCUUACUGGUCCGGUUCAGACGCUGAGGCGCGAAAGCGUGGGGAGCAAACAGG